UGAAUGAUUCAUCAAUUGAUACCAACUAGGAGCUGCCGCUAACCUCUGCUCAGCGUAACAAAAUUACAAUCAUCUCCUUUUGCAUCAACUUGUCCUAGUCAAUUGUGGGAUGCCAUCACUCGUGCAGCUAUCAGGCAGGGCUUCUACAUGAUAAUUGAUACAAUAAUAUUUCAAUUCAGGCAGUCUCUGGCGAUUAACCCAUGCCGGCAACCUUUUGUGAUGGUAAUGCCUGAGAUACAGCUGCUCAAUUUUUGGGGGAGGAGAAAGCCGAUCUAGCAUCCUUAGCAUACUAUCUCCUUCUGAGAGCUUUUCUGUGUCAAAAUCAAUGGCUAGAACCUUGAGUUUCUCAAGCUUUAAAAAGACAUUCUGCUCUUCUUCUGUUAUUUCGCUUUCUUUACUCCAAAGCAUUCGCAAUACUCUUAACUCGCCUAGUUCUCCAAGUUCAUGAACUGAACAGCUGCUUCUGGUUUUUAUUUUUGAUAAGCAGAAGCUUCUUCUGUUAUCCUGAGCCACCACUCUGAAUCCAGACAAUUCUUGGAGCUGGGAGAGCCUCCCUAGUCCACGAGGUAGGUAUGGAAGCUUUUUACAAGAGUAUAGGUCCAUUACUGUCAACUUUUUCAGACAAGUGAUUGAAGGACUUAGUUUGGAUAGCAUACUGCAUCCCCUUAAAAUUAAGAGCUGGAGGUUUCUGAGUUUGCAAAUCGAAUGUGGAACUUCUUGGAGUUGCUUGGCUCCACUUAGAUUUAGAUAUGCUAGGCGUUUGAUGGAGCUANNNNNNNNNNNNUCAUCAAUUGAUUAUUGUCAAGCGUAUUGUUAGACAAGUCCAACGCCCUGAGUGAACGAAGUGAACCCAAAUUCCUGUGGAAUGGAGCGCGAUUGCU
rnacentral:misc_RNA from 1 species